rnacentral:rRNA from 1 species
GACGAACGCUGGCGGCGUGCUUAACACAUGCAAGUCGAACGGAAAGGCCCUGCUUUUGUGGGGUGCUCGAGUGGCGAACGGGUGAGUAACACGUGAGUAACCUGCCCUUGACUUUGGGAUAACUUCAGGAAACUGGGGCUAAUACCGGAUAGGAGCUCCUGCUGCAUGGUGGGGGUUGGAAAGUUUCGGCGGUUGGGGAUGGACUCGCGGCUUAUCAGCUUGGUGGUGGGGUAGUGGCUUACCAAGGCUUUGACGGGUAGCCGGCCUGAGAGGGUGACCGGCCACAUUGGGAAUGAGAUACGGCCCAGACGCCUACGGGAGGAAGCAGUGGGGAAUAUUGCACAAUGGGCGGAAGCCUGAUGCAGCAACGCCGCGUGCGGGAUGACGGCCUUCGGGUUGUAAACCGCUUUCGCCUGUGACGAAGCGUGAGUGACGGUAAUGGGUAAAGAAGCACCGGCUAACUACGUG